CUUACUCAAAUCCCCUGACCGAGGGCUAUGGCUAAGCCAUGGGGGGUCAGCAAGGCAGCAGCACAGGGAAUGUAAUCGUAUCAAUAAACAAAGAGGGCAAAAUUAAGUAAGAAACGCCCUGCGGGUCCUACAUGCCGCCAUUGCAAAGGAGGACCAAGCAACAGAGUGAAGAACAGAAGGUGGGAUGAUGAAAAAGGAAUGUGCUGCUAGCGGCUGGAGGCACACGAUGCUAGGAUCUGCUUGGGAGCGACUGUCCUCCAGUGUUUUUUGACCUUUCUGUUGACUGCUCAGUCAUCACAACGAUGAAGACCCCUGGCCUCAAGCCCCCAUCCCACGCCCCCCUGCCCCCCACCAUUCAUAUCCAUACGUGGAGGAGGGCCGUGGGAUCGACGGCGCCGAGGCUUGUUAGAGCUGAGGCAGCAGCGAGGAUGGAUGCUACUUCAAAGCCAGAGUGUGGGUGGACAAGGAAGCCAAAGGAGUGAGGUAUCCGUGUGAAGCUGUGGAUGGAGGGGUUUUGGAGCGGCUCUUAGGUUGCCCAGGUCUUCCACUCCAGCCACUCCGGAUGGUAAAGUCAUCAUUGUGGAUAUGCAGUUCCAUCGAAGCCUUUCACCCACCAUAAGAAGACUCCUCCUGACGGAAGACAAAUUUCCCGACAAGGUGGAGGCCAUCUGCUUUUUAUAAUUAUUACAGCCAACAUGAUGGAGAACCCAGGGCAAGCAUUUGCAGAAGUCAUUAGGCCCAGUCUCUCCUAAAAACAUCUGGACAGAGAUGUUGCAUAAGGUCAGCAAAGUUACACGCUCAGCAACUUCACUUCACACACACACACACGACUACAUCACCGUGCAAACACGCAGAUCUCACUCAGAUUCAGUUUAAGUCUGCCAAACAAUUUCCAAAUCCAUCUGAAAAACUCAAGUCACUUCCAAAAGGCUAAUUGAAAAGAAUGCAAGGCAUUUUCAUUUAUAGACGUAAAAGCUAGCCCCUAUUUUGCUGCAAUCUAGGUUUCCGUCUGUAUAAAUCAAAUACAACACAGACAUGAUCCCUGGUGUAAGGAUUAAGCUCAGAUGCUAUGCUUAAUAGUUUAUGGAUUAACUCUUAAUAGGCCAAAGAAUACAACACCACCUUUCUCGAAACAUGGACAGUCGUGGAGAUGCGUGCAAGAAGCUAUGCAGUCCUAAAGCCAUUAGCUAACUCGUGCCCUCACGUAAGCACAAACCAAACACAUCCUUAAAAUAGAGGACAGUGAUUAAACAAAGUGCUCAGAUCAGCAUUAUUACUCCUAGGUGAGCAAUGAGACUUCUUGCAUACCUCUAUCUUCUUCGGGCUUCCGCUGCCGUUAAUGAGUUCGAGGUCAACGGUCCGCCAUGACACCAAUUAGAGAAAUAUUUCUCAAAUCAGCAUUUACAGGCCAGUGGGUGUCACCGAUCUGCUAGAUUUCUGCAUAGUCAAUCAUGGCUCAAUAAUGAGCUCGGCCUAUUGCGGCGUGGGCGCAGGGUGGAUCUGAAUCUGAAUCCCUGAGGGUGAUGGGGCUGGAGUGCAGGUACUUCAAUUAGUGGUGGAGAGCUAUUGAUGGAAAACACCGGUCAGGGUGAGGGCCAGGGGCCAAGGGGAGGCUUACAUAUAAAACUCAAGGUCGAAUCGUAAAGGGACGUUCCACCAGCACAGCAUCAUUUUUUAAUAACUCAGUGUUACUCACUAGGAUAGUGUUAUCCUAGUGUAUGAACCUUUCAAAUUGUUUCCAAAAAAAAAAGGUCAGAAUAAACUACAGAUGUUACUUUUAUAAUAUUGUCAAUUCACUACAACGUCCAUGGUGCAUUGCGCAGGAAGUGAGCCGCAAGCGGCACAUUACAGGGACUUGUUUGCAUCCUAGCGAAAGAGUAUUCCAAGAGGCAGAUAUAAAAGCUUGAGUACUUUUGUUUACUUGUUGAGUUUCGUAUUUAUAUUUCUCAACCUGUGGACUAUGUGGAUAACAUCACGAUGUGUUGUGGUCCCAUGCUCGGUUUAAGUUGCUAGAGCGGCUGUCAGCACAUUUCAAAUAUUACAUUAAAGUAUAUUCACGUCUGUUAUUGCAUUUCAAUUCCAAUAAAGUUUGGGAUCAAUACACAAUUUUAUUUGCAUUGCUAGUUGCCUGCCUAAUGCCUGCACGUAUCAAGAAAGUCUCCUGAGAAAAUACCUAGUGCCACGUCCCACUUCCCCAUCCCCUUUACCGCACACACACACGCACUGGUUUAACCUGUUGCACAUUGAUUGCUCAAAAACAAGUGUGCAGCCUCACUCAGCCCUAGAGGCAGCUUGAAGCAAACUUCUGUGCUGCAUGCAUAUAAGCAUCUCCACUUAAUUCUUCAACAAAGAUAUCGGAAGUUUACACUUGAACUCUGCACUUGAAUUUAAAAUAGUGGUUUAGAAUUGGUAAUACUUCUUUCAUAAUGACAGCCAUCAAACUAUUUGCUAAUAUUUCAUUACAUGGAAUAAAUGAGGGCCGAUAAGUAGCAGCACUCUGAGCGCUGUUUCAUGUCUGCCUGCCGCCAUCUCCGCUGUAAAAUGUACUCUUAAGUGUAUUCUGGCUCAAAGAAAAUCAGUCCUUCUAUCCACUUAGUCCGACUUGGCUGAGGUUACAGACCUCACUUGAUUCUUAGAUUGGUAUUCAUUUAGCAGCCAUUGUUCUUGUGUAGCACUUCAGGCUGACAACAACAGGGAAGCUGAAUCUCAUUGAGCUAAACUCCAAGAUGAUUGUCCUGGGUGACCUAGCUGGGCGUGAAGGGCACGGAGAAAGCGCUUGCAGUCUUCUUUUUUUAUUUGAGGCACGAGUCCAUUUUCGACACAUAACAGAGGGUUUAUCAAAUUUGGACCAUUUGAUACGACUUGAUUAAGGCCCUCAAGAAAUAUAGCUGUUGACAUACAAGUAAAAAUACUAAAUUCAUAAGUUCACAGAUUCUUUGGUUAUAAUUCAGAAGUAGAACAAUAUAAAGUUGCCAACUGAAAAUGAAUUUGCUGCUAUUGCCAUAAUUACUGCCAGGGAUCAUUAAACUAGUAUGUACAAUCUGUUCUCUAUGUGUCUUAAGAACCCUAAAUUCCUUGCCGAACUUAGUCAUCAUAUCAUCAAAAAUAGCUUAUGAGAAAUAAUGUCCAAAAGCAUCAAAAAUAAAUAAACCAAUAGUUUCUACCUCAUGUUGCACUCUCCCUCUCUCCAUCUCUGUGUAUUAGAGACUAGUCACUUCAGUUUUAUUUUCUACAUUUGCCCAGCAAACACAUGGCUCCUUAAGUGUUCAACUGGAGCAAAUGGGUGUUAAGUGAUCUUCAAGUGCACCAUGGUUAUUAAGGAACCUAGAAAGAACCUGGACCAGUAUCUUAAAGCAGUCUAAUCUUAUCUUAAAGUUUUCCAUCUUUAAAAGGAUAACACCACCAGACUCCACUGACUGUGGUGAGAAACAUUUUAAUUUCUGUCUCCUAAA